UACAGAGGGGGCAAGCGUUGUUCGGAAUUACUGGGCGUAAAGGGCGCGUAGGCGGCCUGCUAAGUCGAACGUGAAAUCCCUGGGCUCAACCCAGGAACUGCGUCCGAUACUGGUUGGCUUGAAUCCGGGAGAGGGAUGUGGAAUUCCAGGUGUAGCGGUGAAAUGCGUAGAUAUCGGGAGGAACACCGGUGGCGAAGGCGGUUCUCUGGGCCUUACCUGACGCUGAGGAGCGAAAGCGUGGGGAGCGAACAGG
rnacentral:rRNA from 1 species